rnacentral:rRNA from 1 species
UACGAAGGGGGCUAGCGUUGCUCGGAAUCACUGGGCGUAAAGCGCACGUAGGCGGAUUGCUAAGUCAGGGGUGAAAUCCUGGAGCUCAACUCCAGAACUGCCUUUGAUACUGGCGAUCUUGAGUCCGGGAGAGGUGAGUGGAACUCCGAGUGUAGAGGUGAAAUUCGUAGAUAUUCGGAAGAACACCAGUGGCGAAGGCGGCUCACUGGCCCGGUACUGACGCUGAGACGCGAAAGCGUGGGGAGCGAACAGG